GAUGUCCGAAUGGGGAAACCCGGUGCACUUCGGUGCAUCAUCGUUAGCUGAAUACAUAGGCUAACGAGGCGAACCGGGGGAACUGAAACAUCUAAGUACCCCGAGGAAAAGAAAUCAACCGAGAUUCCCCCAGUAGCGGCGAGCGAACGGGGAACAGCCCAGAGCCUGAAUCAGCUUGUGUGUCAGUGGAACGGUCUGGAAAGGCCGGCGAUACAGGGUGACAGCCCCGUACACGAAGGCACACAGGCUGUGAGCUCGAUGAGUAGGGCGGGACACGUGAUAUCCUGUCUGAAGAUGGGGGGACCAUCCUCCAAGGCUAAAUACUCCUGACUGACCGAUAGUGAACCAGUACCGUGAGGGAAAGGCGAAAAGAACCCCGGCGAGGGGAGUGAAACAGAACCUGAAACCGUGUACGUACAAGCAGUGGGAGCCUUCGUAAGAGGGUGACUGCGUACCUUUUGUAUAAUGGGUCAGCGACUUAUAUUCUGUAGCAAGGUUAACCGUAUAGGGGAGCCGAAGGGAAACCGAGUCUUAAUUGGGCGUUAAGUUGCAGGGUAUAGACCCGAAACCCGGUGAUCUAGCCAUGGGCAGGUUGAAGGUUGGGUAACACUAACUGGAGGACCGAACCGACUAAUGUUGAAAAAUUAGCGGAUGACCUGUGGCUGGGGGUGAAAGGCCAAUCAAACCGGGAGAUAGCUGGUUCUCCCCGAAAGCUAUUUAGGUAGCGCCUCGUGAACUCAUCUCCGGGGGUAGAGCACUGUUUCGGCUAGGGGGCCAUCCCGGCUUACCAACCCGAUGCAAACUGCGAAUACCGGAGAAUGUUAUCACGGGAGACACACGGCGGGUGCUAACGUCCGUCGUGAAGAGGGAAACAACCCAGACCGCCAGCUAAGGUCCCAAAGUCAUGGUUAAGUGGGAAACGAUGUGGGAAGGCCCAGACAGCCAGGAUGUUGGCUUAGAAGCAGCCAUCAUUUAAAGAAAGCGUAAUAGCUCACUGGUCGAGUCGGCCUGCGCGGAAGAUGUAACGGGGCUAAACCAUGCACCGAAGCUGCGGCAGCGACGCUUAUGCGUUGUUGGGUAGGGGAGCGUUCUGUAAGCCUGCGAAGGUGUGCUGUGAGGCAUGCUGGAGGUAUCAGAAGUGCGAAUGCUGACAUAAGUAACGAUAAAGCGGGUGAAAAGCCCGCUCGCCGGAAGACCAAGGGUUCCUGUCCAACGUUAAUCGGGGCAGGGUGAGUCGACCCCUAAGGCGAGGCCGAAAGGCGUAGUCGAUGGGAAACAGGUUAAUAUUCCUGUACUUGGUGUUACUGCGAAGGGGGGACGGAGAAGGCUAUGUCGGCCGGGCGACGGUUGUCCCGGUUUAAGCGUGUAGGCUGACUUUCCAGGCAAAUCCGGAAAGUUAAGGCUGAGGCGUGAUGACGAGGCACUACGGUGCUGAAGUGACAAAUGCCCUGCUUCCAGGAAAAGCCUCUAAGCAUCAGGUAACAUCAAAUCGUACCCCAAACCGACACAGGUGGUCAGGUAGAGAAUACCAAGGCGCUUGAGAGAACUCGGGUGAAGGAACUAGGCAAAAUGGUGCCGUAACUUCGGGAGAAGGCACGCUGACAUGUAGGUGAAGCCCCUGCGGGUGGAGCUGAAGUCAGUCGAAGAUACCAGCUGGCUGCAACUGUUUAUUAAAAACACAGCACUGUGCAAACACGAAAGUGGACGUAUACGGUGUGACGCCUGCCCGGUGCCGGAAGGUUAAUUGAUGGGGUUAUCGCAAGAGAAGCUCCUGAUCGAAGCCCCGGUAAACGGCGGCCGUAACUAUAACGGUCCUAAGGUAGCGAAAUUCCUUGUCGGGUAAGUUCCGACCUGCACGAAUGGCGUAAUGAUGGCCAGGCUGUCUCCACCCGAGACUCAGUGAAAUUGAACUCGCUGUGAAGAUGCAGUGUACCCGCGGCAAGACGGAAAGACCCCGUGAACCUUUACUACAGCUUGACACUGAACAUUGAGCCUUGAUGUGUAGGAUAGGUGGGAGGCUUUGAAGCGUGGACGCCAGUCUGCGUGGAGCCGACCUUGAAAUACCACCCUUUAAUGUUUGAUGUUCUAACCUGGCGCCGUGAUCCGGCGUGGGGACAGUGUCUGGUGGGUAGUUUGACUGGGGCGGUCUCCUCCCAAAGUGUAACGGAGGAGCACGAAGGUCAGCUAAUCCUGGUCGGACAUCAGGAGGUUAGUGCAAUGGCAUAAGCUGGCUUGACUGCGAGAGUGACGGCUCGAGCAGGUGCGAAAGCAGGUCAUAGUGAUCCGGUGGUUCUGUAUGGAAGGGCCAUCGCUCAACGGAUAAAAGGUACUCCGGGGAUAACAGGCUGAUACCGCCCAAGAGUUCAUAUCGACGGCGGUGUUUGGCACCUCGAUGUCGGCUCAUCACAUCCUGGGGCUGAAGUAGGUCCCAAGGGUAUGGCUGUUCGCCAUUUAAAGUGGUACGCGAGCUGGGUUUAGAACGUCGUGAGACAGUUCGGUCCCUAUCUGCCGUGGGCGCUGGAGAAUUGAGGGGGGCUGCUCCCAGUACGAGAGGACCGGAGUGGACGCAUCACUGGUGUUCGGGUUGUCAUGCCAAUGGCACUGCCCGGUAGCUAAAUGCGGAAGAGAUAAGUGCUGAAAGCAUCUAAGCACGAAACUUGCCCCGAGAUGAGUUCUCCCUGAGACUAUAAGUCUCCUGAAGGAACGUUGAAGACGACGACGUUGAUAGGCCGGGUGUGUAAGCGCAGCGAUGCGUUGAGCUAACCGGUACUAAUGAACCGUGAGGCUUAACCUUACAACGCCAAAGAAGU
rnacentral:rRNA from 1 species